GACGAACGCUGGCGGCGUGCCUAAUACAUGCAAGUAGAACGCUGAAGGAGGAGCUUGCUUCUCUGGAUGAGUUGCGAACGGGUGAGUAACGCGUAGGUAACCUGCCUGGUAGCGGGGGAUAACUAUUGGAAACGAUAGCUAAUACCGCAUAACAGUAGAUAUCGCAUGAUAUCUACUUGAAAGGUGCAAUUGCAUCACUACCAGAUGGACCUGCGUUGUAUUAGCUAGUUGGUGAGGUAACGGCUCACCAAGGCGACGAUACAUAGCCGACCGGAGAGGGUGAUCGGCCACACUGGGACUGAGACACGGCCCAGACGCCUACGGGAGGCAGCAGUAGGGAAUCUUCGGCAAUGGACGGAAGUCUGACCGAGCAACGCCGCGUGAGUGAAGAAGGUUUUCGGAUCGUAAAGCUCGGUUGUAAGAGAAGAACGAGUGUGAGAGUGGAAAGUUCACACUGUGACGGUAUCUUACCAGAAAGGGACGGCUAACUACGUG
rnacentral:rRNA from 1 species